GUUUUUUUCGGUCAUUACCCAAAGUUCAUGACCACAGGUGAGGGUCGACACAUAGAUCGACCGGUGAAUCGAGAGUCUCGCCUUGCGGCUCAGCUCUUUCUUCACCACGACAGAUUGGUUAAGCGUCCCCAUCACUGCCGAUGCCGCUCCGAUCCGCCUAUCGAUCUCCCGCUCCAUCCUACCCUGUGAACAAGAUCCCGAGAGUAUGUAUGUAAGUAGUUCAAGUAUGUACAGAAUAUGUAACAUUAUCCCCAUCCCUCACACCCAACAGUAUCACCACUCUUGCUUACAUCCUGGUGAAAUCCUGCACUCGUAAGUGUAAAUCCCUUUCCUUGGUCUACUUCUUAAGUCAGUCCACAGACAUCAACUGGUCCAUCAUCACCACAAGUCCCUCCGUGGAUCACAUGACUCCUGUCCUUUGGCAGCUUCAUCUGCUCCAAAUUAAAUACUGCAUUGACUUCAGAAGUCUGCUGCAGAGAGAGGGUUUAGUGAAAACUUGUCUGUUAAUCCUGAGCUGAGUGACAUUCUGGGUUUUCUGUGUCAGAGAAGAAGGUCACUGAAACCUGGUAAAGAAGGGUAACUCAAGCUGUUCCUGAAAGAGAGGUAACUGAAGCUUUGAGUCAUUUAUGUUAUGAUAACUGAGUCUGUAGACCAAACGUCAUCGUGAGCAGGUUUUCUUCAGUGAACUCAGAGUUUCUCCCUCUUUUCUCCCUCUUUCAUGAAGUCUGUGUUACAUGUACAUUUACAGAGAUUUGACGCUUGACUGACAAAAAAUGUGGCUGUUUUGGUGUAGUUGGUUUGACGUACAAGCCUUUAUGCAACACAUCCUCUCCACCAUGACAUAUCCUUUUGUUACAAUAAAAAAGAGGUUAUUUUAUAAUCUGUGCUCACAGUUAGAGGGUCUGGGGGUUCAGAUAACAUUUGCAUACAAAUAUGUAAACAAAGCUCACAGAUUGGACUUGAAAUCUGAGUGCACAAUCCCUGUUUCCAAGGAUUUUAAAUUUCGUUGAUUGCAUUAAUCCUUUUCAUUACACUCUGAAUGUAACUGUGAGGGUUUUGAAAUACACUUGAACUGAGAAGAAUACAUCAGUCCAUGUCUGACAUGCUGGAGGCUCACAGCUGAAGAGUCCUGCGUCAGAGAGCCAAUCAUCACAGAGUAAACUUCAACUGUUAUUUGCGGUUCAACAAUCUGACUGUAGGGCCACCUGCUGGUCCAGCUUUGAAAUUCUGCAACUUUGCGUUCCUCUGGUGUAUUUGUGGUCCUGUGAAGAAGGGUGUAAUGUAGAUAGGUAUAGAAAACACACUGUAAAAUGUAAGUAUACCCAAAUAUACACCUGAAAAAAUAGAGGAGGUGAAAAUCUGAAGAAGGUUUGGGCCUGACUUUUGCACUCUGGUCAUGUCCUGUUGAAUCUACACUUUAGUUCGUCAGGUUUUCAGCCCCUGAAUGUGAGGCCUUUUCUUCAAUUUAACUUUGUGUUCAGCUCUUUUCUGUUUUAAACUCUUCACCUUUAUGGUUUAAACUCAAUCAGAUCAUUUCUCAGGAUUAAAACUGAAACUUCCUACCUGCUGACAGAUUUUUUUUCUUUCUCUGCGCAGAGUUGACGGCGUCUGAGGAUCAGCC